UCAGUAUAAAAAUACACACUCCGAGCAAGUGCGCCUAGUAACAAAAAGUUACCAGUCACUGGAACGGGGCGAGUGCACGCCAAUCGAAUUCGCUAUCAGUCGUACGCUCUACACUCAAUCGUACGCUCUACACUCAAUUGUACGUUCGCACGACUGUACGCUAGCGUCAUCAGUCGGCUGUCUCGCCAAUUACAUAACUCAUACAACAUGAUAAUGAAGUUUUAAAACGGAGCCAAUUAUGAAUACUUCAGAAUUUUCACUGAUAGUAGAAAAUAACGUAAACAAUGACAAUAGAACGCUAAUGCCCUCCAAUUUGGAAAAUUACAAUAUUUGCAACAAAAUAAUAAAUAAUAAAAGUCGAGAUACAGAAAUUACUUCUUCAUGUAUAAAUUUAGAAAAAAAUAAAACUCAUUGUAAAGGAUGUAAACAGACAAUUUAAAACAAGCCUUAGUUAACAAUGAAACGAUAAUCAUUUCUAAUGAUGUAAUGAUAAAAUAUAAUUUACCUUCUGAUAAAAUUGAAUUACAUUUUUAUGAAUUGAUAAAUAUUCAAAAAAAUUCUGAAAUUUUUUUAACUAAAUUAAAACAGAUGAUAUUAAAUGUAAUAAUUUUAAUAGAAUGAAAGUUAGAAAAGCAUAACGUGUUUUUUCUAAUGACUUGAGUAGCUCUUUUCAGUUAUUAGCAGAUGAAAAUGAUAAGCCUGAGUAUGUCACUACUGCCUGGUUUGUUAGAAUUGUAUCUAAAUGGUUUUCUCGUGUAACAUCCAGACAUUGCAAAUUAGCUCUUGGCACAAAAAAUGAAAAUGUUUAUAAUAAAAAUAUUAAUUUUUUAAAUGAAAUUAUUGAUAUUUUUGCAAAAUUAAAAACAGGCAAGGGAGAUUUCAAACCGGUACAAAGAGUCGGUUCAUUCAGGAUUGUGUGAACGUCUCGGUUCAUUCAGGAUUGUGUAGAAAACCUCUUUUCACAAAUUCGCCAAAAAAAUAUACCAAAUCCGUUACAAUUUACGAAUGAUUUAAAAUUAAUCUCUAUCGUAAUGUAUAUGAAACUAUAUAAUAAAUAAUAGUAAUUAUGAAAAUAAUGAUCAAGAAUAUCUUUCAGGAUUUAUUGAAUAUUCAUCAGGAAAACAAGACAAUGAACAUGUGGUGGAAUCGAAUAAUAAUAACACUGUAGUUGAUAUUGAUACAAUUUUACCUUAUAAAAGAAUACAAUAAAAAAUUUCACAAGCGUUGAGUUAAAUUCACUGUAUAACAUUGCUGAAUAUAUUAUAAGAUCAAUUAUAAAAAUAUGUAAAACAUGCAUUGAUUGUAUAAACUCUGUAAAAUCAGAAUCUUUAUUACAAUAUUCUUUUACGAAAUAUGUUCAAUUUGAAUGUUACAAUAAGAGUUCAUUAUUUUUUGUAAACAUUAAGACAUUCAAAGCAUUUAUAAUAUUAGAAAAGAUGUUCCGACAUUAUUGUAAAUAUUUUGAUAAUAACAAUAUUGAUUAGAAGAAUUUUUUAAUUAAUAAAUUUAGUCAGGUUUUCGCAGAUCAUGUAUUAAAUUGUCAUCAAUUAGUUUUUAAAAUAAUUAAAAGAUUUAUAUUAUUCAGAUUGAGGAUAAUGAACAAAAAAAUGUUGAUAAUAAUUGUAAGCGUUACGAUAGUAAAUCUAUAGCUGUACACACAUCUUUUAAAUAAAUUUUGCAAAUUUGAAA